rnacentral:rRNA from 1 species
UACGGAGGGGGCUAGCGUUGUUCGGAAUUACUGGGCGUAAAGCGUGCGCAGGCGGUGAUGUAAGACAGGUGUGAAAUCCCCGGGCUUAACCUGGGAACUGCGCUUGUAACUGGCAAGCUAGAGUGUGGCAGAGGGGGGUGGAAUUCCAGGUGUAGCAGUGAAAUGCGUAGAGAUCUGGAGGAACACCGAUGGCGAAGGCAGCCCCCUGGGCUAACACUGACGCUCAUGCACGAAAGCGUAGGGGAGCGAAACA